rnacentral:rRNA from 1 species
CAGUAGCCGCGGGAACACGAAGGGUGCAAGCGCUAAUCGGAAUUACUGGGCGUAAAGCGUGCGUAGGCGGUGAGUUAAGUCUGCUGUGAAAUCCCCGGGCUCAACCUGGGAAUGGCAGUGGAUACUGGCUCGCUAGAGUGUGUCAGAGGAUGGUGGAAUUCCCGGUGUAGCGGUGAAAUGCGUAGAGAUCGGGAGGAACAUCAGUGGCGAAGGCGGCCAUCUGGGACAACACUGACGCUGAGGCACGAAAGCGUGGGGAGCAAACAGGAUUAGAUACCCCAGUAGUCCCUGUCUCUUAUAC